rnacentral:rRNA from 1 species
CCCAGACUCCUACGGAGGCAGCAGUGGGGAAUAUUGCACAAUGGGGGAAACCCUGAUGCAGCGACGCCGCGUGAGUGAAGAAGUAUUUCGGUAUGUAAAGCUCUAUCAGCAGGGAAGAUAAUGACGGUACCUGAGUAAGAAGCCCCGGCUAACUACGUGCCAGCAGCCGCGGUAAUACGUAGGGGGCAAGCGUUAUCCGGAUUUACUGGGUGUAAAGGGAGCGUAGACGGCAUGGCAAGUCUGAAGUGAAAGCCCGGGGCUCAACCGCGGGACUGCUUUGGAAACUGUUAAGCUGGAGUGCAGGAGAGGUAAGUGGAAUUCCUAGUGUAGCGGUGAAAUGCGUAGAUAUUAGGAGGAACACCAGUGGCGAAGGCGGCUUACUGGACUGUAACUGACGUUGAGGCUCGAAAGCGUGGGGAGCAAACAGGAUUAGAUACCCGAGUAC